GAUGAAGAACGUAGCGAAAUGCGAUAAGUAAUGUGAAUUGCAGAAUUCAGUGAAUCAUCGAAUCUUUGAACGCACAUUGCGCCCGCCAGUAUUCUGGCGGGCAUGCCUGUUCGAGCGUCAUUUCAACCCUCAGGGCCCUUUUGGACCUGGCUUUGGGGCUCGGCCGCUACCCUGCGGCCGUCCCCGAAAGAUAGUGGCGGUCUCGCUGUAGCCUCCUCUGCGUAGUAGUUACAUCUCGCACUGGAACGCGGCGCGGCCAUGCCGUUAAACACCCCACUUCUCAAGGUUGACCUCGGAUCAGGUAGGAAUACCCGCUGAACUUAAGCAUAUCAAUAAGCGGAGGA
rnacentral:misc_RNA from 1 species